rnacentral:rRNA from 1 species
GACGUAGGGGGCCAGCGUUGUUCGGAAUUACUGGGUGUAAAGGGUUCGUAGGCGGUGUGGCAAGUCGGGAGUGAAAUCUCCCGGCUCAACUGGGAGGGUGCGCCGAAGACUGCAGGGCUUGAGUAUGGGAGAGGUAAGCGGAAUUCCUGGUGUAGCGGUGAAAUGCGUAGAUAUCAGGAGGAACACCUGUGGUGUAGACAGCUUACUGGACCAUAACUGACGCUGAGGCACGAAAGCGUGGGUAGCAAACAGG